rnacentral:misc_RNA from 1 species
UUGAAUAAACUUGGUUAGGUUGCUGCUGGCUCUUAGGAGCAUGUGCACACCGACUCCAUCUUUAACCACCUGUGCACCUUGCGUAGAUCUGAACAUUUCGAGGAAACUCGGUUUGAGAAUUGCUGUGCGUAAGCCAGCUUUUCUUGUAUUCAGGUCUAUGUUUUCACAUACCCUAUAUGAAUGUAUAAGAAUGUUGCAAUUGGCCUUGUGCCUUUAAAAACAAAUA